UGGGCAUUCUUUCUUCUCUAAGUGAGAUUUUAGGGCGCGCGGGGACCGCCGCGACUGCGAUCUCUCGAUUUCCCAGGCGCGCGGAUGAUCGAGGUUUAAGCGGGCAGUAUGUCAUUGUGCACUUCCUCCUCAGGGCACAGCUUUCCCGAGCUUAGAUUCUCGUGUCAUUCGCGGCUAGUGAAGAAAUCCCAGCAUCUCGGCACCAAAUUUUCCCAGGGAGUGUUUCUGGUGGGGUACAAGCAAUCAUGCUCGUGGGGGCAUCACUUUCGCAAGCGAGCUAGAGCAUCGAGGCACGUUAGAGCUUUUUUGCAAGAUGGGAUAGAUUGUGGUGCCACUAGUCCGGAUAGGGAGCCACUUCCCGGUAUUAAAAAAGGAGGAGGAGGAGGAGCUUCUAGGUGGUGCUCCUCGAGUGAUCACAAAGAGACUACGGAGAGAAGUCGAGUUAAGGAGGAAGAGUUUUCGAUCGACGCUGCCAAGCUUCCUCAAGUGUUCCAGCUUCUAUCCGCUUGGGAUACCUUGUCCGAGAGGUUGUCUCCGGAGAUUUUGCAGUGCAAUGGUUCCCAGCUGCUUUUAUCCACGCUGAAAGUCGCAUUACCGGCGUUACAGCUCGCUCCAUACUCUAAAGACGGAAGGUUUCAACUCUCCCGAGCGCUUGCCAUCGCUUACACGCUCGCUGAUCUUCAUAUGGAUGCUGAAGUUAUUGCAUCGGGCAUUCUCCGUGUUGCUAUGGAGACAGAGGUUCUAUCUCUUACUGAUGUGCAACGAGAACUUGGUGCUGGGGCUUUCCACCUUCUUGACGACUCCUUGCGGGUGAAUCAACUCGCUUGUUGUCUAGACAAUCUGGACGAUGAAAACGCCAACAUGCUUCGUGACUUUUCGCUUGCUUAUCACGACAUCCGGGCUAUGGUUGUGGAGCUUGCUUCUCGCCUGGACGAGAUGCGGCACGUCGACUGCCUUCCAAGGCUUCGCCAGCAGAUGGCGGCUCUGGAAAACAUGCAACUCUAUGCUCCUCUGGCUCACGCUCUGGGACUUGGCACUCUAUCUCAGGAACUGGAAGACAUGGCAUUUCGGAUUUUGUUUCCCGAUUCGUACCAGUGCGUCGAGGACUGGCUCCAGAGCCACUGGGGAGACGGAGAAGCUAUUAUCGCGGAGUCUAUAAAGCAACUGAAGGCUGCCUUAGAGGCUGACAGUGUGCUUCAAGGCAUGGUAGAGUCCGUGAAGGUGACAGGCAGGCGUAAGAGUCGAUUCAGCACGAUGAAGAAGCUGCUCAGAGAUGGCCGGGGGCCCGACCAAGUUUACGACAUACUCGGUCUUCGGGUAAUCCUUUUUCCGAAGACUGGUGCUGGAGAGGAAGCUGGCAUUGCGGCUUGCUACAGGGCUCAGAAGAUUGUCACCAAUAUGUGGAAAGAAGUACCAGGGAGAAUGAAGGACUACAUUGCAAAGCCGAAGCUAAAUGGAUACUCGAGCUUGCACUUGGCGGUUUUCUUGACAAAAUACGGUCCAUGGAGUUUGCCUAUGGAGCUUCAAAUCCGAACUUCGGCUAUGCACGCGCAUGCUGUCGCUGGAGGUUCGUCACACGCACUAUACAAAGGAGGCCUUACGGAUCCCCGACAGGUUGAAAAUUUCAAGGCCGUUAUGCUUGCAGCGGCUAAAACUGCUGCGUGCCGGUUUCAAAGUGAUACGGUGUCUGAACCGAAUGCCGAUCACGUUUUUAGAAUGUUCGAUAAAAACAGCGAUGGAAUUAUCAGCAAGGAAGAAUUUCACGAUGUACUUUUACAGCUUGGAGCAGACAAAGGUGACACCUCCGAACUUCUGAGGCUUUUAGACACCAACACAGAUGGAUCUGUUGAUACCAACGAGUUUGCAGAAUUAAAGCGACAGGUUCGAGCUUCUCCACAGAAUAGCCGCCUUAGAUUCCAAAUCCAAAGGAACAAGGACUUCAGCAACAGCUUGCAACAUACAAUCCAGCUUUCAGUAUUUUGAAGUGUAUAUACAACUCUGAGCAUGUAUAGCGACUGUAAUGUACCAUAGAUGACACACAAUAGUUCCCGAGAGAAGAAGUUUUCAUGUAUGCUUUUCAUGAAAUCUUCACAGUUUGGAGAGAAGAAGUCCUUCUCUCUUCGUCUAGUCGGGCAAUUUUGAUACCGAUACUCGAUUGCUCCCCACUUUUGGGAUGCCUCUUUGAAGAGCCAAGUCGCGCGCAU